rnacentral:Y_RNA from 1 species
AGCUAGUCCAAGUGCAGCAGUGUUUAGCACUAAUUGAUCACAACCAGUUACACAUUUCUUUAUUCCUUCUCUACCUUCACUGCUUCACCUGACUAGUCUUAG